CGGAAGGAACCACCCGGGGCCAUGGACGGAGCAGUGAUGGAAGGGCCGCUCUUUUUGCAGAGUCAGCGCUUUGGGACCAAGGUGGAGGAAGACCUGGGCCGUGCUCUACCCGGCCAGUCCCCACGGCGUAGCUCGGCUCGAGUUCUUUGACCAUAAGGGGUCGAGCUCUGGGGGUGGCCGAGGGAGCUCGCGCCGCCUGGACUGCAAGGUGAUCCGUCUGGCUGAGUGUGUGAGUGUGGCCCCUGUCACCGUGGAGACCCCCCCUGAGCCCGGCGCCACUGCAUUCCGCCUGGACACUGCUCAGCGCUCGCACCUGCUGGCGGCCGACGCGCCGUCCAGUGCAGCCUGGGUGCAGACGCUGUGCCGAAACGCCUUUCCGGCAGUUGGACUCUGGCUUCUACUGAUAACCCACCUAAGCUUUCUGCCCUGGAGAUGCUGGAGAACUCCUUGUACAGCCCUACCUGGGAAGGUCAUGUUCUCUUUUGAGGCCGGCCGCCGCUGCCCCUCAGGCCCUGGAACCUUCACCUUCCAGACGGCACAGGGAAAUGACAUCUUCCAGGCAGUUGAGACUGCCAUCCACCGGCAGAAGGCCCAGGGAAAGGCCGGACAGGGGCACGAUGUUCUCAGAGCUGACUCCCAUGAAGGGGAGGUGGCAGAGGGGAAGUUGCCUUCCACACCUGGCCCCCAAGAGCUCCUCGACAGUCCCCCAGCCCUGUAUGCUGAGCCCUUAGACUCCCUGCGCAUUGCUCCAUGCCCUUCCCAGGAUUCCCUAUACUCAGACCCCUUGGACAGCACCCCUGCUCGGGCAGGAGAGGGAGUACAACGGAAGAAACCUCUCUAUUGGGACUUGUAUGCGCAUGCGCAGCAGCAGUUGCUGAAGGCCAAGCUGACGGACCCCAAAGAGGACCCCAUCUAUGAUGAACCUGAGGGCCUGGCCCCAGUCCCUCCCCAGAGCCUUUAUGAUCUGCCUCGGGAGCCCAAGGAUGCAUGGUGGUGCCAAGCUCGGGUGAAGGAGGAGGGCUAUGAGCUCCCCUACAACCCUGCCACUGAUGACUACGCUGUGCCACCCCCUCGGAGCACAAAGCCCCUCCUUGCUCCCAAGCCCCAGGGCCCAGCCUUCCCUGAACCUGGUACUGCAACUGGCAGUGGCAUCAAAAGCCACAACUCAGCCCUGUACAGCCAGGUUCAGAAGAGCGGGGCCUCAGGGAGCUGGGACUGUGGGCUCUCUAGAGUAGGGACUGACAAGACUGGGGUCAAGUCAGAGGGCUCUACCUGAGAAGGAGGGCAAGGCUGAGGUGGCUAAGGAGGACCAUGGGGAGGUGGCACUAGGGAUCAAAGAAAAUGGUU
rnacentral:sRNA from 1 species